rnacentral:lncRNA from 1 species
GCCCUAGGACAAAGCCGCCCCUGUCCCGGACAGAGUGGAAUAAGAGCGCCUCCUUCAAUCCCCACUCGCGCCUGCACCCAGAGCACCUGGGACACAGCGGCUCUGUCUUGGAGAACAGAAUGAAGCACCCCAGUUCUCUGCUGAGCACAUGGGCAUCUGCAAUAAAGAUUUAAUUUCCCAGCUUCUCCUGAAGCUCGGUAUGGCCACAACACUAAAUUCUGCCCGAGGAGAUUAAGCAAAAUAGUAUGGGACUUCCAAGAAAUGUUUUUAAAGUCAGGGGCAGGCCUUUCUUCAUGCCUUCUUCCUCUUUGCUGGCUGGAACGCAAAGACCAUGGCAGGAGGCCAAGCAGCCAUCCUGGAAGGUGAAAGCCUCAUACUAAGGACGUCAGACAGCGAAAUAAGAGCCUGGGUCCUUGACCCUGUAGACAUCUCCCUCCCCAUCCUGGUCUGUCUGCCUUGACUCCUUUCAUAUGAGAGAAAUAAACUUUUAACUUGCGUAAACCAGAAA